rnacentral:rRNA from 1 species
AUUGAACGCUGGCGGCAUGCUUAAUACAUGCAAGUCGAACGGUAACAUGCCCUUCGGGGUGAUGACGAGUGGCGGACGGGUGAGUAAUGCAUAGGAAUCUACCCAGUAGAUGGGGAACAACUUGGGGAAACUCAAGCUAAUACCGCGUAAGCCUUACGGGGGAUAGCGGGGGACUUUUUAGGAAGCCUCGCGAUAUUGGAUGAGCCUAUGCCGGAUUAGCUAGUUGGUGGGGUAAAAGCUUACCAAGGCUACGAUCCGUAGCUGGUCUGAGAGGACGAUCAGCCACACUGGGACUGAGACACGGCCCAGACUUCUACGGGAGGCAGCAGUAGGGAAUAUUGGACAAUGGGCGAAAGCUUGAUCCAGCAAUGCCGCGUGUGUGAAGAAGGCCUGCGGGUUGUAAAGCACUUUCAGUUGGGAAGAAAAGCUUUAGGUUAAUACCCUGAAGUAUUGACGUUACCAACAGAAGAAGCACCGGCUAACUCUGUGCCAGCAGCCGCGGUAAUACAGAGGGUGCGAGCGUUAAUCGGAAUUACUGGGCGUAAAGCGUACGUAGGCGGUUGAGUCAGUCGGAUGUGAAAGCCCAAGGCUUAACCUUGGAACUGCAUUCGAUACUACUCGGCUAGAGUACAGGAGAGGGAAGCGGAAUUCCUAGUGUAGCGGUGAAAUGCGUAGAGAUUAGGAGGAACACCGGUGGCGAAGGCGGCUUCUUGGACUGAUACUGACGCUGAGGUACGAAAGCGUGGGGAGCAAACAGGAUUAGAUACCCUGGUAGUCCACGCCCUAAACGAUGAGAACUAGAUGUUGGGGGAAUUUAAUCCCUUAGUAUCGCAGCUAACGCGCUAAGUUCUCCGCCUGGGGAGUACGGCCGCAAGGUUAAAACUCAAAUGAAUUGACGGGGGCCCGCACAAGCGGUGGAGCAUGUGGUUUAAUUCGAUGCAACGCGAAGAACCUUACCUGGCCUUGACAUCCUUGGAACCUUGCAGAGAUGUGAGGGUGCCUUCGGGAACCGAGAGACAGGUGCUGCAUGGCUGUCGUCAGCUCGUGUCGUGAGAUGUUGGGUUAAGUCCCGCAACGAGCGCAACCCUUAUCCCUAGUUGCCAGCGAUUCGGUCGGGAACUCUAGAGAGACUGCCGGUGACAAACCGGAGGAAGGGGGGGACGACGUCAAGUCAUCAUGGCCCUUACGGCCAGGGCUACACACGUGCUACAAUGGGGUAGUACAAAGGGUUGCGAACCCGCGAGGGGGUGCUAAUCUCACAAAACUACUCGUAGUCCGGAUUGGAGUCUGCAACUCGACUCCAUGAAGUUGGAAUCGCUAGUAAUCGCGGAUCAGCAUGUCGCGGUGAAUACGUUCCCGGGCCUUGUACACACCGCCCGUCACACCAUGGGAGUGGGCUGUACCAGAAGUAGGUAGUCUAACCGCAAGGGGGACGCUUACCACGGUAUGGUUCAUGACUGGGGUGAAGUCGUAACAAGGUAGCCG